rnacentral:misc_RNA from 1 species
GGCGAUCAUGCUCUCUAUCUCCGCCGUACAGCGGCGAUACCGCCUGUUUCAUCCUGUUCGUCAAACUGUGCCUUUCCACUUUAACCCCGUACAGUCCAUCUUCCCGCUCAUCUACGAGAACAACCUCCUCGCCAAACCGCGCCUCAGCUGGAAGGACUAUGAGGGCAGGAAAGAGUUCGAUGCAGAUCACCCGCUCCCCGUUGUUGGGACGCGGCUCAAUGAGCGCACCACUACGCACAAAUGGUCUCAUUGGGACCAGUACAUCAACCCGCAGAUAACACAGAGCUGGAUGGAUCUGACGCAGUCACCCGAGUACGUUGGGCCUCGCAGCGGGCAUAACGUCAUCAAGAUGGGAUGGAUGAAGAUCGGGGGUAGCUGGAAGUACUCUCGUAGCUACAACGAUGCGCGGCGUGGUUUUGCCAAGGGGCAGUGGCAGGAGCGGAAGAUGACGCCUCGCUUCAUGCUGGCACCACGCGUGUCCGCCGGCGGCCCGCGCAACCGGUACGAAGGCAAGGCGUCCUUCUCGCGACUGAGCCUCAGCAAACUGCUGUGGGCUGUGGAUACAGGCCGACUAAACCCGAAUGAGACCAUCACCUUGUAUCACCUUCGCAAUGCGAAGGUGAUCGCCGAUCGCGAAGUCGUGUGGCCGGGGAUGGUACUGCUUGCCGGUAACGUGGAGCGUGUACCUUACCCGCUGCACAUCGAGCUGCAGAACGCGUCGGCGAAAGCAAUCCAGCUGCUCGAGGAGGCCGGUGGCUCCUUCACAAAUGUGUACAUGUCUCACGAGGGCCUCUACCAGGAGCUACACCCCGAGGAGUUCCCCACCUUUAUGGAGCAGGAGCUGCCGGAGAGGAAAGGGCUGGAGAACUUUGCAACGCAUUCGCGCAAGCGGGGCUGGCUGGCGCAGUGGUACGAGGACGAGAGCCGCUAUGCCCACCCCAGCGCUGGACGACGCAGUGCACACUACAUCCGCCCACCGACCGAUCGCGAUUUCCCCGCCACCAUCGAGGAAUACGAGCUCGCGAAGCAUCACCAGAAAUGGCACCUGAAUCAGCCUGGAAGCGCUACCGUGCUGCCCUGGCACUCUCUCAACACAGCUGACAUGGCACGGCGGUCAGCCGGGCGACUGUAGCGAGACACUCGUCCACGUCGACGCGCAAGAGGAGGCUCGAUUGUUCGCCAGUUUGUUGAUACGCGCGCGUGUGCCGUUGCUGGGUUUUGCUAAGCAAUGCACACGACAAGUUAAGGCGGUGCCAAGGAAACAGGGUAGCCGAACACAC